rnacentral:ncRNA from 2 species
GUCCCCUGUGUGGGAGAGUCCGGCUGGCGCCCAGAGCAGUGUUCGCACUGCAGCCCUGGGCGCGGAUCCGGCGCCGAAGGAGCAAUAUCCUCCCCGGGAAUCUCUCAGGCACUCAGUACCGUGCAGGGGUG